rnacentral:lncRNA from 1 species
CAAUAAAGAAGUCAUCGGUCAAAGGGGUUAAGAACGAAACACAGAAAGGACAGAAAGAAAAAGAGACUAGGCUCAUGGCAAUAUGCGAGCACUGGAGGUUCUAAUAAAAUGUGAGUGUGGGGUGCCAGCUAAUUCAAAUGUAAGGCUAAAGGUGGCUUAGAAGUAAAGUAUUAGGAUAAGGAAACACAUUAAAUGAAGAAAAGGCAGCAUACAUACAUGUGUUCAUAGCAGUGUAAUUACUUCAUGUAGGAGCCUGGAAAUAUUCGUAUCACUGGGAAAGGGCGUGGUAAACAGGGUAGAACCUUCACAGACCAUUGUGAGGUCAGCAGGAACGUGAAGAGCGUGAGGUCAGUGUAUAGAAAAUAAGCACGACCGUUUAUACUACAACUACAGCCACACCCCAGAAAAGCAGGGGUCCGUGACCCCCACAGCCGGUCGCCACAUCGAGCCCUGGGCAUAAGGGAGAGUUCUAUUUGGAUGCGGUCCAGGAGCGCGCGUAAUCCUGUCAAGGUUGGAAGACGAUGCAAGUGUUUCCCAUGGCAGGACGGUGACUCUCUUCAAACACGAACACUGAUCUGAAUUACAAAAUGUCCUAAAAGAAAGAACAUCCUGACCAAAUGGAGAAGUCAGCAUGAAGCAGGAAAUGGAGGCAAGGUGCAAAAACCCGUCUUGGACGCCAGGACUGGUCGGGGAAGACAUGUCCAGGCUCACAGACCACCAUCCACUUGGCCAGCCCAUGGGAGUGGGGGCACCUGAUGCCCUCAAAGCCUGCUGACACCCACUGGGGCCCAUGCAGGUACCACUCGUUGUGCUGCAGAAAUGCUUGAGGCAACACCUGUGCUGAUGCAAGGGGUGGUCACUGUGCUGGCAAGAGACCUCACUGGCUGGUCCCCAAGACCCCUGUACUUAGUUCAUAACUGG